UAAUACGUAGGUGGCAAGCGUUGUCCGGAUUUACUGGGCGUAAAGCGCGCGUAGGCGGCUUAGCAAGUCUGUGGUGAAAUCUCUCGGCUUAACCGGGAGGGGUCUAUGGAUACUGCUAGGCUUGAGUGCCGUAGAGGAAGGCGGAAUUCCCGGUGUAGUGGUGAAAUGCGUAGAUAUCGGGAGGAACACCAGUGGCGAAAGCGGCCUUCUAGACGGUAACUGACGCUGAGGCGCGAAAGCGUGGGGAGCGAACCGGAUUAGAUACCCGGGUAGUCCACGCUGUAAACGAUGGGUACUAGGUGUAAGGGGUAUCGACCCCCCUUGUGCCGAAGCUAACGCAUUAAGUACCCCGCCUGGGGACUACGGCCGCAAGGCUA
rnacentral:rRNA from 1 species